AGUGAACGCUGGCGGUAGGCCUAACACAUGCAAGUCGAACGGCAGCACAGGAGAGCUUGCUCUCUGGGUGGCGAGUGGCGGACGGGUGAGGAAUACAUCGGAAUCUACUUUUUCGUGGGGGAUAACGUAGGGAAACUUACGCUAAUACCGCAUACGACCUACGGGUGAAAGCAGGGGAUCUUCGGACCUUGCGCGAUUGAAUGAGCCGAUGUCGGAUUAGCUAGUUGGCGGGGUAAAGGCCCACCAAGGCGACGAUCCGUAGCUGGUCUGAGAGAGUGAUCAGCCACACUGGAACUGAGACACGGUCCAGACUCCUACGGGAGGCAGCAGUGGGGAAUAUUGGACAAUGGGCGCAAGCCUGAUCCAGCCAUACCGCGUGGGUGAAGAAGGCCUUCGGGCUGUAAAGCCCUUUUGUUGGGAAAGAAAUCCAGCUGGUUAAUAUCCGGUUGGGAUGACGGUACCCAAAGAAUAAGCACCGGCUAACUUCGUGCCAGCCGCCGCGGUAA
rnacentral:rRNA from 1 species